ensembl:lncRNA
CCUUCUGAGAGACGGAUGCAAACAGACCAGACAGAGACAGAGAGAGAGAGAAAGGAGAGACCAGUUAGCAGAGAGUCAGACAGAGACAGAGAGACAGGAAAGACCAGUAAGCAGAGAGAGAGACAGGCAAAGAGUAGAAAGAAGGGAGAGAGACAAACAGAGACAGAGAGAAAGGAGAGACCAGUUAACAGAGAGAGAGACAGGCAGAGACAAGAAAGAAGAGAGAGAUAAACAGACACAGAGAGAAAGGAGAGACCAGUUAACAGAGAGAAAGGAGAGACCAGUUAACAGAGAGAAAGGAGAGAAGUUAGCAGUGACAGACAGACAGAGACAAGAAAGAAGAGAGUGAGAGGAAGAGAGAGACAAGGGGACAGGGAGUUUGAGACACAGAAAGAAACAGUGAUAAAGAAGGAUGAAGGUAGACCUGAGACACACUGACAGGUGAAGAGACGGAGGUGGACGAGAGACAGACUGACAGGUGAAGAGACGGAGGUGGACGAGAGACAGACUGACGGAGGUGGACGUGAGACAGACUGACGGAGGUGGACGAGAGAGACUGACGGGUAAAGAGACGGAGGUGGACGUGAGACAGACACUGGUCAU